rnacentral:rRNA from 1 species
GACGAACCGUGCGAACGCUGUUCGGAAUCACUGGGCUUAAAGGGCGCGUAGGCGGGCCCGCAAGUCAGGGGUGAAAUCCCACGGCUCAACCGUGGAAGUGCCUUUGAUACUGCGGAUCUCGAGGGAGGUAGGGGCGUGCGGAACUUCCGGUGGAGCGGUGAAAUGCGUAGAUAUCGGAAGGAACACCGGUGGCGAAAGCGGCGCGCUGGACCUCUUCUGACGCUGAGGCGCGAAAGCCAGGGGAGCAAACGGG